UACGUAGGGGGCAAGCGUUGUCCGGAUUUAUUGGGCGUAAAGGGCGCGUAGGCGGUUUCUUAAGUUUGGAGUGACAGUGGGUGGCUUAACUACCCAAGGCCUCUGAAAACUGGGGAACUUGAGGACCAGAGAGGGACAUAGAAUUCCGGGUGGAGUGGUGAAAUGCGUAGAUAUCCGGAGGGAUACCAAAGGCGAAGGCAGUGUCCUGGAGGGUGACUGACGCUGAGGCGCGAAAGCUAGGGGAGCGAACAGG
rnacentral:rRNA from 1 species